rnacentral:rRNA from 1 species
AACGAGGAUCAAUUGGAAAGCUCGCGGAAGGAUGAUCGAGUGGCGGACGGGUGAGUAACGCGUGAACAAUCUGUCCCAGACAGGGGGAUAACGACUUGGAAACAGGUGCUAAUACCGCAUAAGACCACGGUAUCGCAUGGUACAGGGGUAAAAGGAGCAAUCCGGUUGGUGUGAGUUCGCGUCCGAUUAGCCAGUUGGGGGGUAACGGCCCACCAAAGCGACGAUCGGUAGCCGACCUGAGAGGGUCGAUCGGCCACAUUGGAACUGAGAGACGGUCCAAACUCCUACGGGAGGCAGCAGUGGGAAUAUUGGGCAAUGGGCGAAGCCUGGACCCAGCAACGCCGCGUGAGUGAAGAAGGCCUUCGGGUUGUAAAGCUCUGUUACAGGUGACGAAGGAAGUGACGGUAGCUUGUAAGGAAGCCCCGGCUAACUACGUGCCAGCCGCCGC